rnacentral:lncRNA from 1 species
GCUGAGUGGGGAAAAACAUUAAAAGAAACAAAAAGAAAAAAAAAAGAAAAGAAAAGAAAAAAAAAAAGUCUGGUUGGUCUUUACAACCAUAAAUGGUAAAAUUCACCCUGUUCCCCUGCCAGCCAGAAGAACAGUCAGGCAAGGUUUUGAUUUACAGGAAAAGCUCAGCAAGGGCCUUGUGGAGAGAGCUUCAUGCCUGCUAUAAAAAUGUGAUUAGCUAUAAAACAGAGAGAUUUAACAAGAACAUUUAAGCAUAGGCAACAGACCUGUACGAAAAUAAACAAAAACAGAAAUUGCUGUCUGAGCCUUUAACCCCUUACUUUAGAGGCUGGGAUUAGAAUUGCUGUUUAGACUUGUGACUAAUAACAGUUUCGCGCUUAGAACCAAAAGCCAAAGGGGAGAUGACCUUGAAGUUUGCACUAUGCUCAUUCUGCUCACCCUCAGCGACUUUUCCUUUGGGCCUUGCAUGAAGAGGAAUUAUCCACACCCCCUGAAACUGCUUCCCAUGGCAGAUUCUCCCUGGACGCCUAGGUUGGAAAGCAAGGGAAGCCAGUGGUGGUGGAUCCCUCGAGGGAAGAACAUUUAAAGACAACAGUGUCAGAGUGCACUGCUUUUAUCUGCACUCCCCAGCUUGCUCUGUGUCAAGGCUGAAACAGCCGCAGCUUGGGAAGGACCUUGGCUGAAUAUACUCUGACUGGGCAGCUCUUUCAGACAAAGUAGCCCUCCCGAGACAGGCUGCAAAGGCUGGCGGCCCAUCGCUGACUGUAGAAGAGUAGGAGAAUACCUGUCCAUUUUUCACCCACCACAGACAGGGUGAUUUCUCACCAGUCGUCCCCCUCCUCCUCAACAAGACCGUCUCCUACUUUCAUGUCUUCUUCGUGUGUGACCUGCUGAGCUCACUUAGAGUUUCCUGCCAAAGUGUGGAUGGAUUAUUUACUACAACAUAGACCACAUGUCAGUGGCUACACCACUCGACUACAAGGAAACCCUUUCCACCAUUAAGUAGUAACUGUCCUUUAGGGAGGGGUGCACAUUUCAUGUGGUCCUCUCUCAUCCAUGAUGCAAUUUUUAGUGGCCAAAUUGUAUGCAGAACGAAGACAAUUUCUUAACAACUAAUGAGAAAGACAUGUCUGUAGGAUUUCUUCACUGUGUGUCCAUCGCUAUGUCGAGUACGGUCUCAGUCCCUGCCAUCACCUUUAGGGAGAUUAUCCCACAGCACUUAAGAGGCAGAACUGGAAUUCAACGCUGGCCUUUUAGGCUCUUUUGCUUUGUGGAAGGCAGUGGAAGUUCUCUCAGGGAACAGGAUGUGCACAUAACCACUGUGUCUGACAGCAGACGAUUUCUUUAACUAUUAGUAUGCCAGGUUUGAGCCUGAGACUGAUUUCCUUGCGAUACAGACACCCUGCAAAGUUUUGUUUCCUGUGGAAGAGACAUGCCUCCCUAGAGCUGGGGCCAUCUUGCAGACUUUUCUGGCAUCCCUGGGCUUAUCUUGCUUCUCCUUGCCUUCCUGAAUACAUUCCACUCAAGGCUCCUUUCAUCCUGGGAUGGAUGAUGCUCUUCUGAGAUGGAGACACAGCCACUCGGCUGCACUUUCCUUGCGCUCCACCACUUAUGAGAGGCCUGGGAUCCAUCACUACUACCAACAAUAGAUAACUGCAAUUAAAUGUUUCUGAAACAUCAAAUGAGAUUAUCAUGCUUUUAAGUUGCCCUUUGAAUUACAAUUCUUCCUCCCACCAAAUCCUAUGCAUGCAUCGAUUUGAGAGGAUACAAGGGGAUUAUUGUGAAUUAGAAGGGUUUCCAGAUACAACCUAGAAUCUUAAAUACUAUGUUUACUUACUUUUACCUGGAUAUAAAACCUCGUUUAUCCUGUGUAUCUCUUUGUUUUAUUGAUAUUUCCCAUACUCAGUGGCAUUUCUCGGGUGCUUUAACGCAUUGCUUAUGACAUUUUUUUAAAAAUCACUGUUAGAUUUCUAAUAGAAAAUGUUCAUUAAAUGAGUGUUGAUGCCCUUUUGUUUGUGGUAUUUUAUGAGCUCCAGUUUUUGAGAAUGUUGGCAGUGAUGACUUCUACCAUGAUAAGAUCUUAGUUUAUUCCGAGGUGCACAUGAAAACCUGAGGGACAGAUCCACCUUCCUGGAAUCCCAUGCUCCCUGCAAGUGAGUCUUGGAGAGACGCCCAUCCAUUCACUGUCUAUAAUUCUUUGGUGUAAGCCUCCCUUCACCUGUUUGGUGGCUGCAGUCCCCUUGCUAACUCUGUACUACAGUAUCUGCAUGCUGGUUAUAACAACUUCAUCCUCCACACUAAAGCUGUAGUGUCAGCAGCUUUAUGUUAGCACAACAGUAGGUGACCAACAACGCCUUCUGUGGAAGGCAUAAAUGAACAGGCUGUUACAGAGCAAUAUGACAGGGAAGAGAAGCGCAUGGAUAAUGCAGCAACACACAGAUGAUGGGAAUUUCUGGGGAUUCAGUAGCCAGAUCUUUAUGUUCACAAAAUUGUGAGAUCAUAUCCCUUUGGGGACAAGAGUCAGUUUCAAGAGAGUUUGGUUUAUCUGUUCAGUUUCAAGAUAUGUAUAUGCACAUGUGUGAGGAGAGAGAGAGAGAGAGAGAGAGAGGGAGAGAGAGAGAGAGAGAGAGAGAAUAUCUGUGUGUUUAAAAGAGACAGACACAUUUUGGCGACAUGUUUGGAAGGAUUGUAAAUGCAUGACCAAGGAAUUACAUUUAAUUUGAAGCCAAUCAGAGGAAAUCUAUGGUUCUGAGCCAACGAAUGGUAGGAUUUAAUAACUCCUAUAAGACUAAAAUGAUCUUAGCCUGUAGAAAGCAGUAAGACAGGCAGAGGGGUUUCUGCACACACUAUUUCCACAUUCUAAGCUCCAGGUAGGGUGACAGACGUGGAGGGAAAGGAGUGAAGACAGAAUGUUGGAGGUGAAACAGACAUUUUUUUAAAAAGAGUUGACAGACCAUCUAGGCACACAGGCUUAAUUAAACUAUCAAAGGAAAGAAUUUGCCUCUCUUUUGCAUAUUUUAAAACUUGCCUGAAAAAAAGCAAGUAAUGAGAUUCUGUCGUUUUCCCUAGAUGUGCUUAAACAUACGUUAAAAAGAAAAAAAAAGAAAAGUGACUGAAUUUUAACGCCAAUGUUAUUUUGGACUUUGCCCAAGUUAAUCAGCAUCCCAGAACAAAGAACU